rnacentral:ncRNA from 2 species
AUCUUAUGAAGAGAGGUAGAGGGACUGGCCCUAUGACACCUCAGCAACCCCACGUUAGUGGAAGGUGCUAAUUCCAUCAGAACGAUUGUUCUGAGAGAUAAGAA